ACCCGCGGCAAAGCGCGGGCAUCGAUUCUAGUAUACUAAAGCUCAGUCGCCCGGGUUCUUGUUCAUCACUGUUCACAAAGUGGAGUAACGCUUUUGCCAUUUCUACUAUUGAGGAUUUGCCAUUCUUCUAUUACCUUCUGAUCCCUAAUCGCGUGUACACAUCCCUUGAGAACAGAGGGAGAGAGAGAGUGAUCUGGGUAGAAGAAGAAGAAGGGAUUUCGAAUCGCAAACAAAUCCUCUCCAUAACUCCUUCCAUAAAUCGCUUCCGGGGUUGAAGAAGGAACAGUUCCAUUGCAUGAUGUUGAAGCGAGUAGCGGUAAUUUUUUAGUUUGCAGAGAAUCCAUUGAAAAUAGCCAACAGAGAUGGAAUUGGUAGGCUAUCUUCGGUUGCUGCAUAUCAUCUGCAACUGUGGGUGGUUCAGGCAGGCACGAAAGAGCUCACCUUUAAGGAGGAGAAGGCCAAGGUCAAAGACUUGCACCUCGAGCUUCUAGCUGGGAUGUUCUUUUUUUUUUUUUUGCUGGAGCAACUGUUGGAGUAACAGCUCUUCUGACUUCACACAAACCCAAUCUGGGAAGCAGCUUCAUGUCAAUGAUUUCUAUCAAUCUCUAUUGCUCCACUGUGGUAGAUGAAGUAAAUACAGACAGCGCGGAGGUAACAACUUGGGAGUAGAUUUUUUACUACUGCAGCAGACUGAUUAUGCAUGGUUAUCAAGAUGGGUGGAGAAAUCAGGGUUGUAAAGAAGGAUGGCCAGGAACUUCAAUGCAAUUGUACUUGGUUCUGGAUACACCUGCAGAUGGCACUAAACAAUAUUGUCAAGAAGAUUUUGCAAAGCAGUGUAGUGGUGCUGCUCGCACGACAUGGCAACAUGGGUAGAUUGAUUAUGCCCCGGUGGUUACGUAAAAAUGUUCUCAUUGGCAGCGUCUGAGUUGAAUAAGCUGACAUAAGUUCUUAGGGAACUCUUUAAAGGCAGAAAUUCAGCUCGAACUGCGCAAAAGUUCAGCUAAUGGACGACCUUUUUUGGAGUCAUCUAAAAUUGCUCUUGAUGGUGGAGGCAAAAAUGGAGAGCCCAAACAGACCAUUGGUUGUAUGACAGAGCGUGUUGUGGAAACUCGAUCAUUUGGAAUUGUUUUUCAGGCAAAAUGCUUGGAAACUGGUGAGACUAUGGCUAUAAAGAAGGUUUUGAAAGACAGAAGAGAUAAGAACAAGGAACGUCAAUUGAUGCGUGUGAUUGAUAUGUUAACACACCCACUUCAGAACUCUCUAAUGCUAUAAAUCAUCGAACAUGAAAGAUUAACAUGCUCCUAGAUUUUACUAAGAUGUAUCAUAUGCUUACAAAGCUGGAAGUCUCAUAACAAACUACCUUUUUUGAAGCUAAAGGGUAAACAAAUAAGAAAUUAUUCUAUAUAUAAAGGGAGAAUAACACUGUUGCACUGUUCCUAAGAAGUGUCGGAAAAGCCGCUUCUGUCCUCACUGUUGAGGAGAAUAUCAAGCUGCUGGAGAAGUCAUUUUUGUCCUUGGUUUUCUCAGUUUUGGAUAGGGAUGGUUGUCGGGUUUGGAAUUCAGCCACAGCCACUCAGAUCAAGAUCAAAAAAAAGCAAAAGAAGAGAAAAGAAGGAAAAGAAGAAUCGAAGAGAGGGGAAGAUCUUGCCGAGAAUAGACCGGUUGGAAGGCAUAAUGAUCGGGGUUGGGAUUGGGUGGCUUACAUCAAGAUCAACAAAAGCGAAAGAAGAGAGCAGAGAGAAAAGAGGAAUAGAAGAGACGAAAGCAGAAGAUCUGUGAGCUUUGGAAAGAAGAGAGAAGAAAGAAAAGACCGGUUGCAAGAUUGUUGGGGUGAUUUUGAUGGUAGAUUGUUGGGGUAGGAGAAAGAAGUGGAGAGAUUGAAGAAUUUGGAGCAUAAGCUUUAGUUCGUUACUUGGAAGGAGCAGGGAUUUGCUUAAGAAUCAUAAGCAGUUGUGUCUUCGUUCAUUUCUAGGUUCAGAGAUUUGAAGGAUUGGCUCCGUCUGCUUUAUUACUGCAAUGUUCAAUAAGAACAAGAAGAGGAGUGAUAGAUUUCAGUUUGGUUUGAAAAGUUCAAUUACUUACGAGGACUGUGUUGCCUGUUUUACUUGAUUCACGCUGCUCAUUUCAGAAGUGUAUGUCUUUGUGAUGGGGGACAACCGCAACAACAGUUGACUCUCAUAACUGGUUUGCCGACUGUGGUGCAGGACUUUAGACUUCUACAUUAUCAAGAGUUGCAUUUCGAUGAUUGUGGAGAUCGUGUUUCUCAGUUGUUACAUGUUGAAUUAGUUGCCCCAGCUUCACACUUUCAAAACAAUGAUAUUCUAGAAGACCUCAUGAUUCAAAUUUGUGUAUAGUAAUUAGCUAAAGUACCAGAUUUUGGAUCAUGUAAAACAAUGUUUGAUGUGUAUAUACAACGCAUUUAUAUAGUGUACCUAAUAUUUGUAAAUUCAAUAAUGUCCAUGAUAUUCCGGCAGCAUCGCGCGGGCUAUCUCGCUAUACA